rnacentral:rRNA from 1 species
UAAUACGUAGGGCGCAAGCGUUGUCCGGAAUUAUUGGGCGUAAAGAGCUCGUAGGCGGUUUGUCGCGUCUGCUGUGAAAACGCGAGGCUUAACCUCGCGCCUGCAGUGGGUACGGGCAGACUAGAGUGCGGUAGGGGAGACUGGAAUUCCUGGUGUAGCGGUGGAAUGCGCAGAUAUCAGGAGGAACACCGGUGGCGAAGGCGGGUCUCUGGGCCGUUACUGACGCUGAGGAGCGAAAGCAUGGGGAGCGAACAGGAUUAGAUACCCUGGUAGUCCAUGCCGUAAACGUUGGGCACUAGGUGUGGGGCCCGUUUCCACGGGGUCCGCGCCGCAGCUAACGCAUUAAGUGCCCCGCCUGGGGAGUACGGCCGCAAGGCUA